GUGCCAGCAGCCGCGGUAAUACGUAGGAGGCGAGCGUUAUCCGGAUUUACUGGGCGUAAAGCGCGUGCAGGCGGAUCGGUAAGUUGGAUGUGAAAGCCCCCGGCUUAACUGGGGGAGGUCGUUCAAAACUGCCGGGCUUGAGUACAGGAGAGGGAAGCGGAAUUCCGGGUGGAGGGGUGAAAUGCGUAGAUAUCCGGAGGAACACCAGUGGCGAAAGCGGCUUUCUGGACUGUAACUGACGCUCAGGCGCG
rnacentral:rRNA from 1 species